UACCCACCUGGCAAUGGGUAAUGAGACACCUUGUCAGUGGUGUUCCUAUAUCAGUCAGGGACAGAGCAGAUGGCAGUCCUUUGUUCAUCCUAGCUUGAUGCCUGGCUUGGUGGCAAAAGCUGUUUUAUGUCUAGGACUCAUAA